AUUGAACGCUGGCGGCAGGCCUAACACAUGCAAGUCGAACGGUAACAGGAAACAGCUUGCUGUUUCGCUGACGAGUGGCGGACGGGUGAGUAAUGUCUGGGAAACUGCCUGAUGGAGGGGGAUAACUACUGGAAACGGUAGCUAAUACCGCAUAACGUCGCAAGACCAAAGAGGGGGACCUUCGGGCCUCUUGCCAUCAGAUGUGCCCAGAUGGGAUUAGCUAGUAGGUGGGGUAACGGCUCACCUAGGCGACGAUCCCUAGCUGGUCUGAGAGGAUGACCAGCCACACUGGAACUGAGACACGGUCCAGACUCCUACGGGAGGCAGCAGUGGGGAAUAUUGCACAAUGGGCGCAAGCCUGAUGCAGCCAUGCCGCGUGUAUGAAGAAGGCCUUCGGGUUGUAAAGUACUUUCAGCGGGGAGGAAGGGGGUAAAGUUAAUACCUUUGCUCAUUGACGUUACCCGCAGAAGAAGCACCGGCUAACUCCGUG
rnacentral:rRNA from 1 species